rnacentral:rRNA from 1 species
CGCGUAGGCGGCUUGGUCAGUCGGAUGUGAAAGCCCCGGGCUUAACCUGGGAAUUGCAUUCGAUACUGCCAGGCUAGAAUGUAGUAGAGGGAAGUGGAAUUCCAGGUGUAGCGGUGAAAUGCGUAGAUAUCUGGAGGAACAUCAGUGGCGAAGGCGACUUCCUGGACUAACAUUGACGCUGAGGUGCGAAAGCGUGGGGAGCAAACA